CCCUUAGAUGUUCUGGGCUGCACGCGUGCUACACUGAUAUUGCCAAUAUGUCAUUCUUAUCCGAAAUGGAUUGGGUAAUCAAGUAAUGAAAUUUCAUGCUUGGAAUCGGUAAUUGCAAUUUUAUCGUGAACGAGGAAUUCCUAGUAAGCACUAGUCAUCAGCUAAUGUUGAUUAUGUCCCUGCCCUUUGUACACACCGCCCGUCGCUACUACUGAUUGGGUGUUCAAGUGAGAUGCUUAGACCCUUGUUGCAUGGUUCAUUAUUGUGCUCCGAAAGGGAAAAGUUUCAAGCUUGAGUGUCUAGAGGAAGUAAAAGUCGUAACA
rnacentral:rRNA from 1 species